CGGCGAGUAGCGCAGCUUGGUAGCGCAACUGGGUUKGGACCAGUGGGGAGGUUCGAAUCCUCUCUCGCCGACCA
rnacentral:tRNA from 1 species